GGUGGCUCAGUGGUAGAGUCCUUGCCUUGCAUGCAAGAGGCCCUGGGUUUGAUUCCUCAGAACCA
rnacentral:tRNA from 1 species